rnacentral:misc_RNA from 1 species
GUAACAAGGUCUCCGUAGGUGAACCUGCGGAGGGAUCAUUACACAAAUAUGAAGGCGGGCUGGAACCUCUCGGGGUUACAGCCUUGCUGAAUUAUUCACCCUUGUCUUUUGCGUACUUCUUGUUUCCUUGGUGGGUUCGCCCACCACUAGGACAAACAUAAACCUUUUGUAAUUGCAAUCAGCGUCAGUAACAAAUUAAUAAUUACAACUUUCAACAACGGAUCUCUUGGUUCUGGCAUCGAUGAAGAACGCAGCGAAAUGCGAUAAGUAGUGUGAAUUGCAGAAUUCAGUGAAUCAUCGAAUCUUUGAACGCACAUUGCGCCCUUUGGUAUUCCAAAGGGCAUGCCUGUUCGAGCGUCAUUUGUACCCUCAAGCUUUGCUUGGUGUUGGGCGUCUUGUCUCUAGCUUUGCUGGAGACUCGCCUUAAAGUAAUUGGCAGCCGGCCUACUGGUUUCGGAGCGCAGCACAAGUCGCACUCUCUAUCAGCAAAGGUCUAGCAUCCAUUAAGCCUUUUU